AUUGAACGCUGGCGGCAUGCCUUACACAUGCAAGUCGAACGGCAGCACGGACUUCGGUCUGGUGGCGAGUGGCGAACGGGUGAGUAAUAUAUCGGAACAUACCCUAGAGUGGGGGAUAACGUAGCGAAAGUUACGCUAAUACCGCAUACGAACUAAGGUUGAAAGUGGGGGAUCGCAAGACCUCAUGCUCAUGGAGUGGCCGAUAUCUGAUUAGCUAGUUGGUGAGGUAAAGGCUCACCAAGGCGACGAUCAGUAGCUGGUCUGAGAGGACGACCAGCCACACUGGAACUGAGACACGGUCCAGACUCCUACGGGAGGCAGCAGUGGGGAAUUUUGGACAAUGGGGGCAACCCUGAUCCAGCAAUGCCGCGUGAGUGAAGAAGGCCUUCGGGUUGUAAAGCUCUUUUGUCAGGGAAGAAACGGUGAUCUCUAAUAUAGAUUGCUAAUGACGGUACCUGAAGAAUAAGCACCGGCUAACUACGUGCCAGCAGCCGCGGUAAUACGUAGGGUGCAAGCGUUAAUCGGAAUUACUGGGCGUAAAGCGUGCGCAGGCGGUUAUAUAAGUCAGAUGUGAAAUCCCCGGGCUCAACCUGGGAACUGCAUUUGAGACUGUAUGGCUAGAGUGUGUCAGAGGGGGGUAGAAUUCCACGUGUAGCAGUGAAAUGCGUAGAUAUGUGGGGGAAUACCGAUGGCGAAGGCAGCCCCCUGGGAUAACACUGACGCUCAUGCACGAAAGCGUGGGGGAGCAAACAGGAUUAGAUACCCUGGUAGUCCACGCCCUAAACGAUGUCUACUAGUUGUUGGGUCUUAAUUGACUUAGUAACGCAGCUAACGCGUGAAGUAGACCGCCUGGGGAGUACGGUCGCAAGAUUAAACUCAAGGAAUUGACGGGACCCGCACAGCGGUGGAUGAUGUGGAUUAAUUCGAUGCAACGCGAAAAACCUUACCUACCUUUGACAUGCCGGAACGCUGGUGAGAGCUGGGGGUGCUCCGUAAUGGGAUCCGGGUACACAGCUGCUGCAUGGCUGUCGUCAGCUCGUGUCCUUGGAAUGAUGAGCUAAGUCCGCACGAGCGUCACUCAUGUCACUGACUGGCAUCAUGAGGGUGGGCACUUUAUGGAGACUGC
rnacentral:rRNA from 1 species